UACGGGGGGGGCAAGCGUUGUUCGGAAUUACUGGGCGUAAAGGGCUCGUAGGCGGCCAACUAAGUCAGACGUGAAAUCCCUCGGCUUAACCGGGGAACUGCGUCUGAUACUGGAUGGCUUGAGUUUGGGAGAGGGAUGCGGAAUUCCAGGUGUAGCGGUGAAAUGCGUAGAUAUCUGGAGGAACACCGGUGGCGAAGGCGGCAUCCUGGACCAACACUGACGCUGAGGAACGAAAGCCAGGGGAGCAAACGGG
rnacentral:rRNA from 1 species